rnacentral:rRNA from 1 species
GUGCCAGCCGCCGCGGUAAUACGGGGGGGGCAAGCGUUGUUCGGAAUUACUGGGCGUAAAGGGCGCGUAGGCGGUUCGCUAAGUUGGAUGUGAAAACUCUGGGCUCAACCCAGAGCCUGCAUCCAAAACUGGCGGGCUAGAGUUCUGGAGGGGGUAGCGGAAUUCCUGGUGUAGCGGUGAAAUGCGUAGAUAUCAGGAGGAACACCGGUGGCGAAGGCGGCUACCUGGACAGAAACUGACGCUGAGGCGCGAAAGCUAGGGGAGCAAACAGGAUUAGAUACCCCCGUAGUCC